rnacentral:rRNA from 1 species
CUCGACGAGUACGGCCGCAAGGCUAAAACUCAAAGGAAUUGACGGGGGCCCGCACAAGCGGCGGAGCAUGCGGAUUAAUUCGAUGCAACGCGAAGAACCUUACCAAGGCUUGACAUAUACGAGAACGCGCUGGAGACAGCGAACUCUUUGGACACUCGUAUACAGGUGGUGCAUGGUUGUCGUCAGCUCGUGUCGUGAGAUGUUGGGUUAAGUCCCGCAACGAGCGCAACCCUCGUCCUAUGUUGCCAGCACGUCAUGGUGGGAACUCAUGGGAUACUGCCGGGGUCAACUCGGAGGAAGGUGGGGAUGAGGUCAAAUCAUCAUGCCCCUUAUGUCUUGGGCUUCACGCAUGCUACAAUGGCCGGUACAAUGGGCUGCGAUACCGCAAGGUGGAGCGAAUCCCAAAAAGCCGGUCUCAGUUCGGAUUGAGGUCUGCAACUCGACCUCAUGAAGUCGGAGUCGCUAGUAAUCGCAGAUCAGCAACGCUGCGGUGAAUACGUUCCCGGGCCUUGUACACACCGCCCGUCAAGUCAUGAAAGUCGGUAACACCCGAAGCCG